rnacentral:misc_RNA from 1 species
UUAAGUUCAGCGGGUAACUCCUACCUGAUCCGAGGUCAACCGUGGAAAAAUUAUGGAAGACCAACACCCGUAGAUCCUUCCCGAGCGGGUGACAAAGCCCCAUACGCUCGAGGACCUAGGCGGGCGUCGCCACUGCCUUUCAGGCAGUCCCCAGGGGGGACCACACCCAACACACAAGCCGUGCUUGAGGGCAGAAAUGA